rnacentral:rRNA from 1 species
UGGGGAAUAUUGCACAAUGGGCGAAAGCCUGAUGCAGCAACGCCGCGUGAGGGACGACGGCCUUCGGGUUGUAAACCUCUUUAGCAAGGAAGAAGCGAAAGUGACGGUACUUGCAGAAAAAGCGCCGGCUAACUACGUGCCAGCAGCCGCGGUAAUACGUAGGGCGCAAGCGUUAUCCGGAAUUAUUGGGCGUAAAGAGCUCGUAGGCGGUUUGUCGCGUCUGCUGUGAAAACCCGAGGCUCAACCUCGGGCCUGCAGUGGGUACGGGCAGACUAGAGUGCGGUAGGGGAGAUUGGAACUCCUGGUGUAGCGGUGGAAUGCGCAGAUAUCAGGAAGAACACCGAUGGCGAAGGCAGAUCUCUGGGCCGUAACUGACGCUGAGGAGCGAAAGGGUGGGGAGCAAACAGGCUUAGAUACCCUGGUAGUCCACCCGUAAACGUUGGAACUAGUUGUGGGUCCAUUCCACGGAUUCCGUGACGCAGCUAACGCAUUAAGUUCCCCGCCUGGGGAGUACGGCCGCAAGGCUAAAACUUAAAUGAAUUGACGGGGUCAUAGCUGUUUCCU